UCAAGACAGGCGGUGUCAAAAACUGUGAACAAAUCUAAACCAAAUUUACAGAUAAAGGGAUUUUUAUUUAUUUUUUUUAAUUUUAUUUUUUUGGGGGGUCGGGGGUUCUCAGCACCAAUGCGCAAUAUUCUAGUCUACUUAUUUCUUUGUAACUUAAAUGUGGAUGCCAUCUCCAAAAGUAAAAAAAAGAGGAUUUCUGCUGAUGUUGCCUGGUUUGAUGACUUCCCACCUAACAAGAUUCGCAAUAAAUAAACGAUACAGGCAUAUACAAAUCCUAUAUCGAGCCAGAGAAUGAUAUGUAACAGAUUACCUGUAUUCGGUGAUCAAAACAUGAAAGAACACAUACAAAUACUCUCUCAUUCCUCCUCGAAAGGCAUGAAAUUUCUCGAUGCAUUACUUGUAUGUAUCAAAGUCCUGUAUAUGAUGAA
rnacentral:lncRNA from 1 species